rnacentral:lncRNA from 1 species
UAAAAACAUCAUGGGCCUAAAGCCCAAAUCCACCACUUAAACCUAUUUAAUAGAAAAUAAAAUAAAAUAAAUAAUAAUAAUAACAAAAAUAAAAUAAAAGAAUAACAUAAAAAAAGUUGUAGGAUGAAAGGGGGCGCUGCACCCCAUUGUGUAAUCCCCCCUUUUCAAAAUUCAAAACCAUCCAUUCCGUUUUCGACACGUGGCAUGGUUAUGAAAGAGAAAAAAAACAAGUACAA